AGCGAACGCUGGCGGCAGGCCUAACACAUGCAAGUCGAACGGGCUCUUCGGAGCUAGUGGCGGACGGGUGAGUAACACGUGGGAACGUGCCUUUAGGUUCGGAAUAAGCCCGAGAAACUGGGUCUAAUACCGAAUGUGCCCUUCGGGGGAAAGAUUUAUCGCCUUUAGAGCGGCCCGCGUCUGAUUAGCUAGUUGGUGAGGUAAUGGCUCACCAAGGCGACGAUCAGUAGCUGGUCUGAGAGGAUGACCAGCCUCAUUGGGACUGAGACACGGCCCAAACUCCUACGGGAGGCAGCAGUGGGGAAUCUUGCGCAAUGGGCGAAAGCCUGACGCAGCCAUGCCGCGUGGAUGAUGAAGGUCUUAGGAUUGUAAAAUCCUUUCACCGGUGAAGAUAAUGACUGUAGCCGGAGAAGAAGCCCCGGCUAACUUCGUGCCAGCCGCCGCAGUAAUAC
rnacentral:rRNA from 1 species